CUAGGGUUUUAUGUGCGCCGAGAGUGUUAUAUAAACCAUUGCUCUGGUGCUGGAGGAGGAGCCGCCGCACCAGCUGCUUUACUUUGCUCUUCAUCGUCGCUAAACAUGCCGAAGCAAAUACACGAGAUUAAGGAUUUCCUUCUCACUGCUAGAAGGAAGGAUGCGCGUUCCGUGAA